CCAUCAUAAGCAUCCACCCAUUUUCCGCCAAUAAAGCCUCGAGUCUGUAAAAAACCAGAGCUGUUCAGCCUCGCAAGAACAUCAUUCGCCCCCAUUCUUGGCUAACCGAUAAAAAACCUGAGAGAGAGAGAGAGAGAGAGAGAGAGAGAUGAUUGAAGAAGUGAAAGAGAAAUAAA